CUAUAUUACAGAAGGCCUAAUUGAAGUUUUGCCUCAAGCAUAACAGGAAUUUUUUUUAAUAAUCCUUAAAAAAAUUCUAAUUGGUCAAAUUUUAUUUGAUCAAUUAAUUCUCUUCUUACCAACUCAAUGUCAUAUUGGACAAAUAUAAGAAAGACAAUAAAUUGUUCACCGUUUUAGGAAAGCGGUAAAUCAUUUCCUGUUUUUAGAUUGUUAUCGUUGUUUACAAAUAAUUUUUGGCCACACUACAGAAAAACCCUUGUAAAUACCUAUUUUUUCACUUUCCCUCCCUUACUUUGAAAAAUCUACAUUUUACUCCCUUAAAAUUUUAGAAAUAUUUUUAGGGGAGUUUAGCGUUAUUGGAGAGGGAAAAAUAACUGAAUUACACUUACUUCUUUUAUAAGAAAAAAAAAAUUUUUUUUAAUAUAUUUUUGUUAUUUUGAAAGGUAUUUUCGGUAUAAAUUAUAAGAAAUUGGGAGAAUAGUAAUGGAACCAUGACGGAGGGGGUUAAAUACAACAACUUGAAAUGCUGAGGGGUAAAAUAUAGGUUUUUGAAAGUUAGGGAGGGAAAGUGAAAAAGUAGGUACUUAUAAGGGAGUUUUUUUUUGUAAUUUAGCCAUAAUAUUAAUUUUGUAUGGGUUGUGAGUAUUUUUUAAUGAUUCACCGUCUUUUAAAUUUUAUUAAAGACGGUGAAUGAUUCAUCAUUUUCUAAUUAUUUUUCUCCUCAGCAUUGAGAUUUGUGCACUUAGCCGAUAUCUUAUUUUUUUUUUUUUUUUGAGGGAAAACACGCUCUAAGGCGAAUUUAUUUAUCAAUCGGGAGGUACAACUUGAGAGAAUUCAUCUACAGAGGACCAAAAAGACAAUUUGUUGCUAGUGAGCCCCC
rnacentral:lncRNA from 1 species